UGAAAUCAAUAUACGUAGUCCCCCUUCUAGUCGCUAGGUGGCACCACAGCUUUAAAGCAGAGCCAAAAAACUGUGGAAUAACUUACCAUGGACGGUAUAUUCGCCAUCUAUGGUCUUAACCUCAUUCCUCUUUUUGUGCUUUGGUGGCACAUGUUCAUUUUUAUUCGGCGUCGGUGUUUUCAGCUUUUUUCAGCGUUUUUGGAAGUUAAUUGGAGAAGUACAAGUGAGAUUUACGUUAUUCCUUAUCGGAUGAAGAAAGAACCUACCUACGACGAAAGAUUAAAUCUUUCCAUCCGCGAUUACAUAAUCGCUAGUGGCGUGGUUCCCAUCAACGAGAUUUUCUUACAAUUGGGAGACGAUUUCUUCAUCGUCCGGGUUCCGAUCGGAAUCCCCAGAACUCGAAAGACCCCCCAUCUUUCCCACUUAUACGACAGCAGUCGUAUGUAAGUGUUUCACAAUUGGAAGCAAUCCUUUUGUGAGGGGGUCGGCCAUACAUAUGGUUUUAUAUUUUUUCGACAUCGAAAAAAUAGAGUUUUCUGGCUCGUCCGGCUAUGGAUGAGGCGCCCGGGAUACUGGGACAUAAUGAACAAUUUUUUAUGGCUGUUGGAAUGCAUUUACUCCAUCGUAAGUAUAUUUUUUAGGCCCUUCAAUUAAUUCUGAUGUCAUUGUUGAGCCCCUUGAGACGGAUUUAAAGCAAAAUGGCCUUUAAGCUAUGGGGUCGAUAGUCCCAACACAAAGUUUGAUGUGUCAUGACAUUUUGGCAAGUCAGAUUAAUACCUUUUUGAAAUCCGGUGUGUCCGAAGAUUGUCUCAGUGACCUUUUGCGUUGAUAUCCUGUGCCGAAGAAUUGCCCGCUCAAUAACUCUCCUAAAUUGAAUGUGCAGAUGAAAUCUGCCAUCAACAAAGGUGGAAAGAAAAGGGAUGAGAGACUGACUGCAACAAGGGGUGCUUUGAUGGUGGUUGGUAGGACGCUCUUGACCUUGCUUUUGAAACCGGUUAAGGAUGAGUAGUACUUACUUCUCAUCGAAAUGUUGAGUAAUGCAAUAUUUGUUUUAAGCAAAAUACACCAUUUAGGUUCAGUAUAUAGAAGUUCAGCCGCGUUAAGCCUUUCGCUGGUCUCAAAUGAAAUGCAGCCUUGUAUGAAGGAAGUGCUCGUUGAUGCUUCUUUGCACUCUUGUUUAUAUGGAGAAGAUUUGGCUGAUAGGCUCAAAUCAAUCAGAUUAGCUGCAGAUUAGUGGCCGAGUUAAAGUCAGGUGCAUCCGGAACAAGGCUUUUAUAGCAUACAAAUUUAAACUCGACCGUCCCACUUCGUUCCCGGAAGUUGCAAGGCUGAAGUGGGUGAAAGUCAUUGUACCCUCAAAAGAGGGAAUACAGGAAGGUUCGAGAGGAAAGGGGGUGGAGUUGUGUCCCCAGGAAAAAAUAAACUCAAGAUGCACAGAUUCUACCUUGGUUAGAUGGAUAUAAAAUUCCAUUUGCGAGGCCAGUUAUACAGGACUUGAUUACGACAGAUCCUGUUUGUUCCCAACAAGAAAAAGAUUCAAUUUGUAAUGUGGUCAAACACCUGUUAGAGAUAAGUGCAAUUGCAGUUUGCGAACCUUGUAAGAAUCAAUUUAUUUUACAGAUCUUUUUGGUUUCAAAAUUGGAUGGUUCGGUUUGAUUAGUUUUAAAUUUAAAGAAACUGAAUGCUUUUAUUGACACUUGUCAUUUUAAACUGGAAGACAGAAAAUUAGUAGAAACACUCUUCACAAGGAAGUCCUUUAUGACCACUCUGGACUUGAAAGAAGCUUACUUUCUAGUCCCAAUAAUUGAAAAUCAAAAGAAUUUUCUAAGAUUUUAUUUUGAUGCUCUCUGUUAUCAGUUUAACGUGUUACCCUUUGGUUUAUGCACCGCCCCGUGGGCCUUUACAGAAUUAAUGAAAUCUGUGGUUUCUUAUCUCCCUGCCAAGGCUUUUCCCUCAAUAGUUUAUUUAGAUAACUUUACUAUUUGGUGAUAGUUAGCUAUCCUUAAAAAAUGUUCAAGUAACUUGCAACACACUGAUUAGGUUGGGUUAUGUUAUUAAUUAUAAGAAUGUUUUACAUCCUUCGAAAUCCCGUAAAUUUUUAGGUUUUGUUUUUUUGAAUCCCACCACUUGUUUUUCUGAUGAGUAAGUAAGUUUUGCAAUUUGAACCAUUGCGAAAUAAGAGUCUUUGCCGAGCUUUGUGCUGUGCUAGUUUUCAGUUUGCCCAGCAGUUUGUUACAGUUGGGUAUAUACUAAGAAUUUUUGAGAGAAUCAAAUAUCUAGCCCUUCAAGACUCUGUCGAUAAUUAUGAUAUUUGGAUGAUAAUUCCUUGUAAUUUACGGAGGGAUUUUAUGUGAUGGCUAAAAAGUUUACAGAAUCCUGAAUGCCCUGUAAGGCAGCAAUGUUACAAACUUGAGAUUUUCUCAGAUGGUACUCCUUUGGGUUGGGGAAUUGUGCCAGAGGACUUUGGAGUCCUAGGGAAGCUCAGUUUCAUAUUAAUGCACUAGAAUUAACUGCGGCCUCAUUUGGUCUCUAAUGCUUCGCCUCGUAUUUGACUAACUGCGAGACACUUUUGAGGAUUGAUAAGACAACUGCUAUUUUGUAUGUAAAUAGAAUAGGGUGAGUAAAAUUUCCUGUUUUAAACGAAAUUUCGAGGCGCCUUGGGGUUGGUGUGAAGAAAGGAGGUUAUGGGUUAAAGCAUCUUACAUUCGAUCUUCCGAUAAUUUUGAAGCGCAUAAGGAACCCACGAAUUUGAAUUUUGAUGGUGAAUGGUACCUUUCGGACAAUGCUUUUGCUAAAAUAACAAGCAAAUUUGGAUUCCCAUAAAUCGAACUGUUUGCUUCUCGCCUAAGUAAGAAAUGCGGAAAGUUUAUUUCCUAAUUUCCAGAUCCGGAGGCAUCUAAUGAAGACGCGUUUACUGUUUUUUGGAGCGACAGUUUCUUCUAUGUUUUCCCCCCGUUUUGCUUGUUGCCACUUGUUUUACGAAAAAUCAAGGCUGAUUGAGCUACAGGGAUCGCAGUAAUCCCUUACGGGCACAGCCAGCAUUGACAAAUUACCUUCUUCUUUUGACAGGAGAGGUCACCCUUUGUGGAAAUCCCUUACCCUGGCUGCAGGGAUUUUGUCAGGCAAGCAUUCCAGAAGAUUUGCUGGAUAUUUUUCUAUCAUCUGUUCAGAGCGCUACCUUGAGGCAUUUAUUACCUGCAUGCAUUUAAACUUUGGUGGAGCUUCUACGAAAGGAGGGGAGUGGAGUGUUAUUACUUCUCACCUAGGCUGUAUUAGAUUUCCUUACUAUUCAUUUUAGACA